rnacentral:misc_RNA from 1 species
CAAAUUGGCAUCUUUCCUUCAAAAAUAAAGAUUGAAUAAGCAAUCUGCGUCACAAACGCUAGUGGUGCGACGAUCGAUGACAGGAAAAGAAGAGGAAGAAGAUGGGAAAAUCUGGCAUGUUGCAGCCAUAAACUAUUCAAUAACAAAACAAGAAAAAGAAAACCAUAAAACCAUAGUUUUGGGUGAUUCAUUCAAAUGAGAGAGACUCUGUGUGGGAUGCGUGGGCGUGUGCAGUAGACGUAGAGAGAGAGAGUGCAGCACGUGCUACAACAUGAAACGAAUGGAAGGAGCGUGGCAAUAUCAAUCCACAUGCUUGCUAGCUUUCAGGAUUAAUGAACCCGAGGCAUAAUCUAUAUGUUUAAAUAAAUUAAGAAGG